rnacentral:rRNA from 1 species
AGUGAACGCUGGCGGUAGGCCUAACACAUGCAAGUCGAACGGCAGCACAGUAAGAGCUUGCUCUUACGGGUGGCGAGUGGCGGACGGGUGAGGAAUACAUCGGAAUCUACUUUUUCGUGGGGGAUAACGUAGGGAAACUUACGCUAAUACCGCAUACGACCUACGGGUGAAAGCAGGGGAUCUUCGGACCUUGCGCGAUUGAAUGAGCCGAUGUCGGAUUAGCUAGUUGGCGGGGUAAGGGCCCACCAAGGCGACGAUCCGUAGCUGGUCUGAGAGGAUGAUCAGCCACACUGGAACUGAGACACGGUCCAGACUCCUACGGGAGGCAGCAGUGGGGAAUAUUGGACAAUGGGCGCAAGCCUGAUCCAGCCAUACCGCGUGGGUGAAGAAGGCCUUCGGGUUGUAAAGCCCUUUUGUUGGGAAAGAAAAGCAGCAGGUUAAUACCCCGCUGUUCUGACGGUAGCCAAAGAAUAAGCACCGGCUAACUUCGUG